rnacentral:lncRNA from 1 species
UUUUUUUUUUUUUCCGCCCAGAUGCCCCGUAGCGACCCAGAGAAACUCCUGGAUGCUCCAUAGAGCCCUAUACACCCUAUAGACAUCGCAUAGAGCCGUACGGUGACCCAUAGACACCCAACAGCAACUCAUGGACCCUCCAUAGCAGCCCAUAUAGACCCCAUAGUGACCCAUAGAUCCCCAUAACUACCCACAGAGGCCCCAGAGUGACCCACACACUGCCCCAUGGCAACCCAUAUCACCCCAUAGACAUCCUCCACUGCCCCAGAUGUAUGGUGACCGAUAGACACCUGACAGCAACCCAUGGACCCUCCAUAGCGACCCAUAUAGAUCCCAUAUGACCCAUAGAUCUCCAUAGCAACCCACAGCAACCCAUAGAGACCCCAGAGUGCCCCACACACUGUCCCAUGGCAACCCAUAGCACCC